UUGUUGUCCAAUAAAAUAGGUGUUGCUUUAUCAACGUAAAAGGGAAUCUGGUGAGAGUCCAGAACUGUACCCGCAACUGUAAUUGCUGAUGAAAUAAGGAAAUCCACUGUGAAUGUUUUCAUGGGAAGGCCUUAAAGUAAAAUGACGCAAAAGUCAGGAGACCUACCUAUUUUAGAUCGUACUA
rnacentral:ncRNA from 2 species